UUUCACUAAACGGGAUUAGAUGGUAGGACGUAUUUAAAAUAUUAUAAUAUAUAAACUUUAAAAU
rnacentral:sRNA from 1 species